rnacentral:lncRNA from 1 species
AAUUCUUGUUUAGAACAGUAACAUAAUUUUAAUUGUUUUAAACAGUUAGUGAAUACUGAUUUUGCCAAAGCAUACUUGUAUUCAACUUUAUAACUGCAGAUUUCGGAAAUGCCUGUCUGUUUUAAGCUUCAAAAGUCUAAACUAAAUGCUUAUUACCACAAAACACAAAUGAAUUUUGAAUUUUGGUGGUGUCACUUCUGCUGUCCUAGAGUAAUGCCCCUAAACGGACGAAAAAACAUGCUGAAUGUUGCGUUUCCAGUCUUUUACUAAUUUUGUGGAACAAUGUUUGUGGAUUUAAAUAAAGGUAACAGUAGUAAACCGCUGUUCAAAGGUCAUUUAUUAAGCU